AGGGGGAAUUACCAUUAGCAGUUGAAGUGGCAGGAAAUUUUUACAUAGGAGAGUAUGGUGAUCAUAUUUGCAUUUUAGAAAAUAAUGGAUAGCAGUUUGUUAGGGGAACAAAGGACAGAGACAGGGAGACUAUUUAAAACAUUAAUAAAAAAUACCCGUGACAGAUGAUGAGGCAUCUACCUGAUGGGAAUGGAGAAGAGGAGAUGGAUUCAGAAACUACUUAGGAGAGGCAGGCAGUCCAAGGCUGAUGCCCAAAGAAGCCAUCAAGACCCGUGCUACUUCCAGCUCCUUCUGUCCUCAUAAUCAUAGAUGAUUGCUCCACAUCCAGAGCUGUUACCUCGCGGCCUCAUGUGUUUUUUACAUGCCUGUUGCCCC
rnacentral:lncRNA from 1 species